CCUAAUCCCCAUUUUCAUUUCUCCUCUUCUCUCUGAUCUCUCCCCCGAUCUAAUCUCCCGGCGAGCGAGCGAGUGGAAUCGGCGGCGAUCUUGGCGGUGACGGCGUUCCGGCGAGGUGGAGCACGCGUGCGACGACGAGCACCGAGCGGCUUCCAUUUGCGCCGGCUGGGGGGAGCACGCACGAGGGCGGCGGCAAGCCGUGCCGGGUGUCGGCGGUCCGGCGAGGCGGGCGCACAAGCGGCGGCGAGCACCGAUGCGGCCCGGACCUCGUCGGCGGGGGGGCGGAGCCCGAAGGCAGCCGCCAAGCCGACGCUUCCCGUCCCCGGCGAGGGAAAGUGAGGAGGUGAAGUGGCGGCGAUGCCGCUUCCCGGAGAAAUUCCGGUGGGUUUAGAGGCUUCGAAAUCCGGCGUUGAACACCGGCGGCCACGGCAGCUCAUACGGGAACGCGACGCCGGCGUGCGCGUUCCGCUGGUGCUCCCGUUCCACCGCCAUGGUCCGGAGCCACGCUUCCUCCGACGGCGACAGACAGCAUGAGGUACCCCCUUUCCGCCCCCGACGAUUACGCCAGCGAUGCCGCAGCCGAAGUACACAUCUCCUUGCGGCCCGGCAGCCCGCGGGUGGCCACGGACAAAUUCAGGGUGUUCUUGACUGAGCAGUGAGCACCCAGUCGCCGUUGCUGGGUAGCCAGGAAAAUACUCUCAGGUGGUCGUCGUUGCUCACGCCGAUGAUACGGAGCUCGCCGCCGCCAUCGUCGUCACCGGCGACGACCCUGAACUUGCACUUGCGGGACCACUCCCUCAUGUGGUCUGGGAAUACGACGAUGGAGAACCUCGCCGUGAGCUCGUCAAGGGCUAGGCGGCUAGGAAGGCACCGAGGCUGCCGCGGCGUCUCAUCUCCGACGUGGGGACGGCGACCAUCUGGUAGCGCCGCGUAAGUGGCUCGCAGACGAUGAGGCCAUCAGGGCAGCAGCGGCUGUCGGAGUCUCGGCGAUCGUCCAGGAGGCGGUGUCCGGGACGAAGUCGAGUGAGAGGCGGCAGCCGUAGACGAGAACCGGCCUGGAGACGUGGACGAACGCCGCAUGGGAGACCGCGCCGCCAACGGCGUGGUAUUGGCCGACGAGGUCGGGCCCGUGGUGGACACGGAAGCGGCGGAGGAAGACACUGCACCGUCGGCGGCAUCAACGACGACGACGCGGCGCUAGCGCUUGCAGACGGACGCGGCGCGGAUGAGGCAGGCGGCGGAUCGGAGUGGAGGCGCAGCAGGACGAGCUCGAGGACUUUGUCGGAGAUGUCGUCGACCACCCACGUAGCCACGUAGGCCUCGCCGUCGCCGGCAGCAACAAGACGGUCUUCUUCCUCCGCGCCGCCGUGCUCCGGUUCUUGCAAGUUGCGACGGCUCAUUCUCGGAUCCAUUAACCUUGAUCUUCUUCUCGCGUUUGUUUAUGGCUUGUUAUAGAGUAUACCAUAUCGUGCAUCAUGGUAGUAUUUUAUACUCACUCCGUUUCAGGUUAUAAGACUUUCUAGCAUUACCCACGUUCAUAUGAACUAGGAAGGUAGUCCGCGCAUUCGCGUGGGCAUAUAUUUUAAGAUGUGUUUGAGAUAUUUACAGUUAUAAGGAUGGAAUAUUAACUGUAGAACACCUCUCAUGCUUCAAAAAACAAAUCUCCGUAUAAUUUUUCUGUCAGCAUAGCGUAUAAUUUUUCCAACCUAGCUUUAUACCAUACACUAUUUGGUUAAUCCCAAUAAGUAAUUAUCAAUAGUCUUUAUCAUAUAAAAUAAGAAGGAAAAAUUAGUUUGUUUUAAAAAAAUAUAUCUAACAAAUUAAGUGUAAAUUGAAAAUAAGGUGUUUUUGUCUUUAAAUUGAAUGUUAGUGGACAUUUUUCUAACAAAUCUUAAAAAACUUUUAUCGCUAACAAAUGUUUUUUAUUGUACCAUCAAGUUAGACCUCCUUUUGUUUGUUGUAUAUUGAUGCAAUUUGUUGCAUACUUACAUAUGAAUCAAUAAACAUAGAGGAGAUAUACAUAUCCUAGUCCUCGCUUCCCUACGAUACGUGUGAUCUAUGGUGCUAUUUUUUUUAAAAAAAAUAGCUAAUCAACAUGAAUCUUAAAAUUGAAAUCUAAUAGUAAGAAAUAUAACUUUUAAACCAACUAUAUACUGCUACCUUAGUUGCUACCUUAGUGUAACUUAUAUAUGCAAUAAUUUUUGGAGGAAUUCAUAAUUCCAUGGCGUACCAUAGAGAAAAAUCCAUUAACAUCUAUGCACUUAAAAAAAGAUGCAAUGGUUAAAUAUAAUUUCGCAUGCAUUUUUAUUUUUGAAGUGUGGUGUAUUAUGAAUGCGCGCUUGAAUAUCUAUCCAUGGUAUAUUAAAAGUGCAUUAAAUACUAUCUAAGGUUGAUUACAUGGUAAUAUAAUAUAGUUUAGAGCACUUACACAAAAGAUUAUUUGUGUUGCUCAGCUUAUUUGAGCAUACUAAUUUCAAUAAAAUUAUGAAGGUACUGUAUUUUUAUCCCGUGGUUUAUACGAUUUAUAUAUGAGUUAGCUUUUUUUUUUUUAUUUAGCUAUGCAUGUUUGCAAAACAAUGUAUGCUAGUGCAACAUGUUUUAAUUGUAAUUCAGUUGACAUGUAAAAGACUAAUGGCGUGUGUUCCUUCGAAUUUUUUAUUCAAUGGCUUGCACUAUUUAUAUGUAAA